rnacentral:rRNA from 1 species
GAUGAACGCUGGCGGCGUGCCUAAUACAUGCAAGUCGAGCGAACGGACGAGAAGCUUGCUUCUCUGAUGUUAGCGGCGGACGGGUGAGUAACACGUGGAUAACCUACCUAUAAGACUGGGAUAACUUCGGGAAACCGGAGCUAAUACCGGAUGAUAUUUUGAACCGCAUGGUUCAAAAGUGAAAGACGGUCUUGCUGUCACUUAUAGAUGGAUCCGCGCUGCAUUAGCUAGUUGGUAAGGUAACGGCUUACCAAGGCAACGAUGCAUAGCCGACCUGAGAGGGUGAUCGGCCACACUGGAACUAAGACACGGUCCAGACUCCUACGGGAGGCAGCAGUAGGGAAUCUUCCGCAAUGGGCGAAAGCCUGACGGAGCAACGCCGCGUGAGUGAUGAAGGUCUUCGGAUCGUAAAACUCUGUUAUUAGGGAAGAACAUAUGUGUAAGUAGCUGUGCACAUCUUGACGGUACCUAAUCAGAAAGCCACGGCUAACUACGUG